GGUUCGUCACAUCCUGGGGCUGGAGAAGGUCCCAAGGGUUCGGCUGUUCGCCGAUUAAAGUGGCACGUGAACUGGGUUCAGAACGUCGCAAGACAGUUCGGUCCCUAUCUGUGGUGGGCGUUAGGAGAUUGAGAGGACAUGACCUUAGUACGAGAGGACCGGGUCGUACGUACCGCUGGUGUAUCAGUUGUGCCGCCAGGUGCAGUGCUGAGUAGCUAUGUACGGACAGGAUAAACGCUGAAAGCAUCUAAGCGUGAAACCUUCCUCAAGAUGAGUCUCCUUUUAAGGGCCGUAGAAGACUACUACGUUGAUAGGCUAUAGGUAUAAAGCUGGUAACAGCAAAGCCGAGUAGUACUAAUUGCCCGUACGCUUUAAUUUUUUU
rnacentral:rRNA from 1 species